UUCGGCGUGGGUGGCGCAGUGGGUAACGCUUCAGUCUUCCACGCGAAGACUCUCUGGUUCGAAUCCAUCGCGUUGAAA